rnacentral:rRNA from 1 species
UACGGAGGGUGCAAACGUUGCUCGGAAUCAUUGGGCGUAAAGCGAACGUAGGCGGCAUUGUAAGUCGGGUGUGAAAGCCCUCGGCUCAACCGAGGAAGUGCAUUCGAAACUGCAACGCUUGAGUGUCGGAGAGGAUAGCGGAAUUCCCGGUGUAGAGGUGAAAUUCGUAGAUAUCGGGAGGAACACCAGUGGCGAAGGCGGCUAUCUGGACGAACACUGACGCUGAAGUUCGAAAGCGUGGGGAGCAAACAGG